GAUGAACGCUGGCGGCGUGCCUAAUACAUGCAAGUAGAACGCUGAAGGGGGAGCUUGCUCUUCUGGAUGAGUUGCGAACGGGUGAGUAACGCGUAGGUAACCUGCCUGGUAGCGGGGGAUAACUAUUGGAAACGAUAGCUAAUACCGCAUGACAACAGUUAUUGCAUGAUAACUGUUUAAAAGGGGCAACUGCUCCACUACCAGAUGGACCUGCGUUGUAUUAGCUAGUUGGUGAGGUAACGGCUCGCCAAGGCGACGAUACAUAGCCGACCUGAGAGGGUGAUCGGCCACACUGGGACUGAGACACGGCCCAGACUCCUACGGGAGGCAGCAGUAGGGAAUCUUCGGCAAUGGACGGAAGUCUGACCGAGCAACGCCGCGUGAGUGAAGAAGGUUUUCGGAUCGUAAAGCUCUGUUGUAAGAGAAGAACGAGUGUGAGAGUGGAAAGUUCACACUGUGACGGUAUCUUACCAGAAAGGGACGGCUAACUACGUG
rnacentral:rRNA from 1 species